rnacentral:lncRNA from 1 species
UUUUUUGAACAUGUGAGAAAAGCCCUCGGUAGGGUUGGAUUACUUACAGAGUAUAAACGAUGCUUGAAUGUUAAUGCAUAUUUCAAAAUGAAUGUUACAGGGAGGAUGAUAAGUUUGCUAAGUGCAGCAGCGCUGCACCAAAGAUGAAUUCAGCCUGGGGUGUUUUCUGGCAAAUGUGUCACCAUCACUCCCUGCAUAUUGCUCUGAAAUACUCAAGCUUUUCUUGACACAUAAGCUGUAAGAAUCCCAGAAGAGGCAGAGACAACAAGGUAUGUCUAAGCAUUGGAAAAAUAAACUGAUCCCUCAAAAAAAAAAUCACCCCGAGGGUUAGCAAGCCACCAACAAAUACAACAGCAGGCUGGAGCUGCAGAGCAUCCCUGGAAGAGGAGAAGAUCAAGCCUGGAAGCUGCUGUCAGGAAACCAGCAGGACUGAAGUCUCCAAUGGCCUGGGACUAAUUCAGCCCCUGUCUGUAACAGGUGAGUGAUGUGGUGGACGCACUGGCUGAGGAGGUGGAUUUGCCUGGCAGAAUGUGCAUUUUAAUUGCUCAUUUUCUUUCUUUUUUUUUUUUAAAUGUGAUUUGAUUGCUAAUUAUGCUUUCUGCAUUUGUAAUUAGAAUGUAUAGCAGAUGGUGGAGGCUUUGGCUGAAGUGAUGUAGCCAUUAAAAUAAUUCAUGCUAUCCCCUGAUAGUUUGCUGGGAAAGGGGUGUUCUCAUGUGAAAAUAUCCUGGGAUGUGCUCUACUGCAGACACCCUUCGUAAAUAUUGCUGGAAAAUGGUGGAAAUCAGCAGAGACACACUGAGCUCAGCAUCCUGGCUACAGCACAGCACCUACGAAUCUGUUCUCCAGGGAGAGACCCACUUGUCCGUGUACAGGUGGCACAAAAAUCACAUGUCAAUUUCUCCUCCAGAGGGCCUAACAAGAGCAUUUCACUUGAGUCCUGAAACGUUAUUUAAGUACCUUGAAGGACUGCUUGUGCUUUCUCCCAGCACCUCCAAUCCAGCAUGCUUUCACCCCACAGUCUCAGCAGCCGCACUGCACAGUGACACUUUGAGUCCAUGCUCUUCUUUGCAGCCGUACCACACUCCCGUGGGCUGAACCCCGACAGCAGCAUCUCCAUUUGCACACCGAAGUUAGAAAUGCAUUCACUGUAAACAAAGCAACAAAGCCCAACUCAGCCCAAAGCCAACAAAGCCCCAUGGAGCAGAGGCACCUUUGUGUCCAACUCGCACAGUGCCAGAGGACAGCAGGAUGCAGCAGCGGGUGGCUGCCAGCAAGCACUGUCUCCUUCUCUACAGCACAGG